rnacentral:rRNA from 1 species
AGAGUUUGAUCCUGGCUCAGAUUGAACGCUGGCGGCAUGCCUUACACAUGCAAGUCGAACGGCAGCACGAGAGCUUGCUCUUGGUGGCGAGUGGCGAACGGGUGAGUAAUAUAUCGGAACGUACCCUAGAGUGGGGGAUAACGUAGCGAAAGUUACGCUAAUACCGCAUACGAUCUACGGAUGAAAGUGGGGGAUCGCAAGACCUCAUGCUCAUGGAGCGGCCGAUAUCUGAUUAGCUAGUUGGUGGGGUAAAAGCUCACCAAGGCGACGAUCAGUAGCUGGUCUGAGAGGACGACCAGCCACACUGGAACUGAGACACGGUCCAGACUCCUACGGGAGGCAGCAGUGGGGAAUUUUGGACAAUGGGCGCAAGCCUGAUCCAGCAAUGCCGCGUGAGUGAAGAAGGCCUUCGGGUUGUAAAGCUCUUUUGUCAGGGAAGAAACGGUGGACUCUAAUACAGAUCACUAAUGACGGUACCUGAAGAAUAAGCACCGGCUAACUACGUGCCAGCAGCCGCGGUAAUACGUAGGGUGCAAGCGUUAAUCGGAAUUACUGGGCGUAAAGCGUGCGCAGGCGGUUGUGCAAGACAGAUGUGAAAUCCCCGGGCUCAACCUGGGAAUUGCAUUUGUGACUGCACGGCUAGAGUGUGUCAGAGGGGGGUAGAAUUCCACGUGUAGCAGUGAAAUGCGUAGAGAUGUGGAGGAAUACCGAUGGCGAAGGCAGCCCCCUGGGAUAACACUGACGCUCAUGCACGAAAGCGUGGGGAGCAAACAGGAUUAGAUACCCUGGUAGUCCACGCCCUAAACGAUGUCUACUAGUUGUCGGGUCUUAAUUGACUUGGUAACGCAGCUAACGCGUGAAGUAGACCGCCUGGGGAGUACGGUCGCAAGAUUAAAACUCAAAGGAAUUGACGGGGACCCGCACAAGCGGUGGAUGAUGUGGAUUAAUCCGAUGCAACGCGAAAAACCUUACCUACCCUUGACAUGUCUGGAAUCCUUGAGAGAUCAGGGAGUGCUCGAAAGAGAAUCAGAACACAGGUGCUGCAUGGCUGUCGUCAGCUCGUGUCGUGAGAUGUUGGGUUAAGUCCCGCAACGAGCGCAACCCUUGUCAUUAGUUGCUACGAAAGGGCACUCUAAUGAGACUGCCGGUGACAAACCGGAGGAAGGUGGGGAUGACGUCAAGUCCUCAUGGCCCUUAUGGGUAGGGCUUCACACGUCAUACAAUGGUACAUACAGAGGGCCGCCAACCCGCGAGGGGGAGCUAAUCCCAGAAAGUGUAUCGUAGUCCGGAUUGUAGUCUGCAACUCGACUACAUGAAGUUGGAAUCGCUAGUAAUCGCGGAUCAGCAUGUCGCGGUGAAUACGUUCCCGGGUCUUGUACACACCGCCCGUCACACCAUGGGAGCGGGUUUCACCAGAAGUGGGUAGCCUAACCGCAAGGAGGGCGCUCACCACGGUGGGAUUCGUGACUGGGGUGAAGUCGUAACAAGGUA